rnacentral:rRNA from 1 species
UACGUAGGGGGCAAGCGUUGUCCGGAUUCAUUGGGCGUAAAGAGCUCGUAGGCGGCUUGGCAAGUCGGGUGUGAAAACUCCAGGCUCAACCUGGAGACGCCACCCGAUACUGCCAUGGCUAGAGUCCGGUAGGGGACCACGGAAUUCCUGGUGUAGCGGUGAAAUGCGCAGAUAUCAGGAGGAACACCGGUGGCGAAAGCGGGUCUCUGGGCCGAUACUGACGCUGAGGAGCGAAAGCAUGGGUAGCGAACAGG